rnacentral:hammerhead_ribozyme from 1 species
AUCCAGCUGAGAAGUCCCAAAUAGGACGAAAUGUGUGUCUAACUGGAU